UAGAUGUUAGUAAAACAAUUACCAGGCCUUGUCAAGGCUUAAUUAUAAGUUAAAACCUUAUACAUCCAC
rnacentral:tRNA from 1 species